GCUCCAGAAUCCUUACCCUUCUGACCUAAUCAAUGGUCUCAGGGAUUCUAAAAGGCCAAAAAGAAAAACAGGAAUGGACUUGGACUCUUUUGAGACAUGGCAGUUGGUUUCAAACAAAC
rnacentral:snoRNA from 1 species